rnacentral:tmRNA from 1 species
GGGCGUGAAUUUGGUUCUCGACGUGAUGAACUGAAGUUACGACUGCACGUAGAGGAUGAUCGUUGGCCUCUCAAAUCAUCGGUCACUAAUCAUAAUUGGCAAAUCCAAUGUUGAUUUCUGCACCAUGUUCGGCGCAAUGAGUUAUGCUCAGUGCCGCGUGGCGCAACCGUCCGUCAUCUAAUAAAAAGAUGACAAACUCAGCGGGGAUCGGAUUCGGAACUGCUGGGUAGCCAUAGGAUCCUGGCUCAUGAAGACGCUCUGGUUCAUGAGUGAGAUUAAGAGCUUUGCGACCACCCGGGUUUGUUAGUGGAACCGGGUGGUGCGAGAAACUCAAACACUGACUAAACGUGUAGAAGUUGUAAAAGACGGCAUUGCGGACGCGGGUUCGACUCCCGCCACGUCCAAUU